GAGAGAUAAAGAUAAACUAAUAUCAACAAUUGAAUGAGACAUAUGAUAAACAUGAUAACAGAUUAAAAGAAAUGGAGACAGAGAAGGAGACAUAUUAUACAGAGAUACUCUGUCUACAAGAACUACUGGAACACAUGGAGUCAGAGAUGAAUAAAGAUGUACCCCAAUCAAAGAAACAACUGAGGAGUAUAUAUGAUAAAGAGAACUAUUAGUGAGAUGGUGUCAAAGUGUAAGGGACUUUAUUCAGAGAGAGAUAAAGUAAUAAAGAUACUUGGAUUCUGGAAAGGGAAUGAUAAGAUGUAUUCUAGUGAUAACUGUAGAGCCCAACAAUAUUUGUCAUUGUCACAAGGAGUAGCAAUAUCAGCACUAGAACAAAUCAACUGUUGAUAUGAGGAAAGUAAAGAAAUUAAGGAAUUGAGAGAAGAGAUGACAACUAUCACUCAGAAAUACAGUGAAAGAAUGCGAAGUAGAGGAAACUAUCAUUUGAGCAGAAGUAGAAUGAAUUGGAUUAGUUGUAGUGGAAGUAUUAUGAUAGCCAUUUAGCCUCUCAUUAUGGUCUUUCACCUUUUGAAGUUAUCACCUUCAAAGACUGAAAUCCAAUGCUCAUUGUAGCUUUAUUGUCUUAAUUCUCACAUUUUGGUGUAUAAUUCAGGCCAUUUCCACUGACUAAAUUCAUAGGCUGAGAAACGACCUGGCCUCUAAACAAUACAUUUAGUUAUGCUAUAGCUGUGUAGAUUUAUUUAUUUUGUUAAUAUUGUUAGACAUUGUUAUACAUACAAUAA
rnacentral:lncRNA from 1 species